rnacentral:rRNA from 1 species
UACGUAGGGGGCAAGCGUUGUCCGGAUUCAUUGGGCGUAAAGAGCUCGUAGGCGGCUCGGUAAGUCGGGUGUGAAACCUCCAGGCUCAACCUGGAGACGCCAUCCGAUACUGCCGUGGCUAGAGUCCAGUAGGGGAGCGUGGAAUUCCUGGUGUAGCGGUGAAAUGCGCAGAUAUCAGGAGGAACACCAGCGGCGAAGGCGGCGCUCUGGGCUGGAACUGACGCUGAGACGCGAAAGCGUGGGGAGCGAACAGG